rnacentral:rRNA from 1 species
UACGAAGGGGGCUAGCGUUGUUCGGAAUCACUGGGCGUAAAGGGCGCGUAGGCGGCCAUAUAAGUCGGGGGUGAAAGCCUGCGGCUCAACCACAGAAUUGCCUUCGAUACUGUAUGGCUCGAGACCGGAAGAGGUAAGUGGAACUGCGAGUGUAGAGGUGAAAUUCGUAGAUAUUCGCAAGAACACCAGUGGCGAAGGCGGCUUACUGGUCCGGUUCUGACGCUGAGGCGCGAAAGCGUGGGGAGCAAACAGG